rnacentral:rRNA from 1 species
GACGAACGCUGGCGGCGUGCCUAAUACAUGCAAGUCGAGCGCAGGAAGCCGUCUGAACCCUUCGGGGGGACGACGGUGGAAUGAGCGGCGGACGGGUGAGUAACACGUAAAGAACCUGCCCAUAGGUCUGGGAUAACCACGAGAAAUCGGGGCUAAUCCCGGAUGUGUCAUCGGACCGCAUGGUCCGCUGAUGAAAGGCGCUCCGGCUUCGCCCAUGGAUGGCUUUGCGGUGCAUUAGCUAGUUGGUGGGGUAACGGCCCACCAAGGCGACGAUGCAUAGCCGACCUGGGAGGGUGAUCGGCCACACUGGGACUGAGACACGGCCCAGACUCCUACGGGAGGCAGCAGUAGGGAAUCUUCCACAAUGGACGAAAGUCUGAUGGAGCAACGCCGCGUGAACGAUGAAGGCUUUCGGGUCGUAAAGUUCUGUUGUAAGGGAAGAACAAGUGCCGCGGGCAAUGGCGGCACCUUGACGGUACCUUGCGAGAAAGCCACGGCUAACUACGUGCCAGCCGCCGCGGUAACAC